rnacentral:tRNA from 1 species
UUGAAGAUUACACCCCUUCUUAGAGUU